UGGGAAUCUACCCAUCUCUACGGAAUAACCCAGGGAAACUUGGAUUAAUACCGUAUACGUCCUUUUGGAGAAAGAUUUAUCGGAGAUGGAUGAGCCCGCGUUGGAUUAGCUAGUUGGUGGGGUAAUGGCCCACCAAGGCGACGACGGGUAGCCGGCCUGAGAGGGUGACCGGCCACACUGGGACUGAGACACGGCCCAGACUCCUACGGGAGGCAG
rnacentral:rRNA from 1 species